GCAGUAGCCGCGGUAAUACAGAGGGUGCGAGCGUUAAUCGGAUUUACUGGGCGUAAAGCGUGCGUAGGCGGCUAAUUGAGUCGGAUGUGAAAUCCCCGAGCUUAACUUGGGAAUUGCAUUCGAUACUGGUUAGCUAGAGUGUGGGAGAGGAUGGUAGAAUUCCAGGUGUAGCGGUGAAAUGCGUAGAGAUCUGGAGGAAUACCGAUGGCGAAGGCAGCCAUCUGGCCUAACACUGACGCUGAGGUACGAAAGCAUGGGGAGCAAACAGGAUUAGAUACCCGGGUAGUCCCUGUCUCUUAUAC
rnacentral:rRNA from 1 species